rnacentral:rRNA from 1 species
UACUAGAGUAGCACUCGCAUAUCAAUAAGCGGAGGAAAAGAAACUAACAAGGAUUCCCCUAGUAACGGCGAGUGAAGCGGGAAGAGCUCAAAUUUGAAAUCUUAAAGGGUUUCCCUUUACGAAUUGUAGUUUAAAGAAGUGUUUUCUGUUGAGGUUUUGGUAAAAGUUCUUUGGAAUAGGACAUCAUAGAGGGUGAGAAUCCCGUAUUUGACCUUUACUUUCAACUUUGUGAUACACUUUCAAAGAGUCGGAUUGUUUGGGAAUGCAGUCCAAAAUGGGUGGUAAAUUUCAUCUAAAGCUAAAUAUUGGCGAGAGACCGAUAGCGAACAAGUACCGUGAGGGAAAGAUGAAAAGAACUUUGAAAAGAGAGUUAAACAGUACGUGAAAUUGUCAAAAGGGAAGCGUUUGACUCCAGUGUUGUUUUUCUGAAAAUCAAUUAAAGAACUGUUUAUGCUAAGCUGUUUAGACUUUAUCAGCUAACUGUUUAGUUUUGAGCUUUUCUUUAAUGCACUUUUCAGUUAACAAGUCAACAUCAAUUUCUUUUGCUGUAAAGAAGCUUGAGGAAGGUGGCUUGAGAUUCGUCUUAAGUGUUUAUAGCCUCUUGCCUAUGCAGUCGGAGAGAUUGAGGUCUGCAGCGUAGAUCCUUCGGGGCUAAAUGCAUUUGUGCUAAGUUAUAGCAUUUUAUAGACAACUUGUUGACUAUGAUUUGUCUUGUAGCUUACUCGCUUAUGUUAUUUUACCUACGCUUAGGAUGUUGAACUACUGAGACAUAG